GGCCCGAGGAGCAGGGCUUAGCUGCUUGUGAGCAGGGUUCCCACCAGGCGUGUUCACAGUGGCUAAGUUCCGUCCCCCGGGCCC
ensembl:miRNA microRNA 27a